GUGACCUGCGGAGGGAUCAUUACAAGUGACCCCGGUCUAACCACCGGGAUGUUCAUAACCCUUUGUUGUCCGACUCUGUUGCCUCCGGGGCGACCCUGCCUUCGGGCGGGGGCUCCGGGUGGACACUUCAAACUCUUGCGUAACUUUGCAGUCUGAGUAAACUUAAUUAAUAAAUUAAAACUUUUAACAACGGAUCUCUUGGUUCUGGCAUCGAUGAAGAACGCAGCGAAAUGCGAUAAGUAAUGUGAAUUGCAGAAUUCAGUGAAUCAUCGAAUCUUUGAACGCACAUUGCGCCCCCUGGUAUUCCGGGGGGCAUGCCUGUUCGAGCGUCAUUUCACCACUCAAGCCUCGCUUGGUAUUGGGCAACGCGGUCCGCCGCGUGCCUCAAAUCGACCGGCUGGGUCUUCUGUCCCCUAAGCGUUGUGGAAACUAUUCGCUAAAGGGUGCUCGGGAGGCUACGCCGUAAAACAAACCCAUUUCUAAGGUUGACCUCGGAUCAGGUAGGGAUACCCGCUGAACUUAAGCAUAUCAUA
rnacentral:rRNA from 1 species